GACAGAGGGUGCAAACGUUGUUCGGAAUUACUGGGCGUAAAGCGAGUGUAGGCGGUUUCCUAAGUCAGGUGUGAAAGCCCCGGGCUCAACCCGGGAAGUGCACUUGAAACUGGGAGGCUAGAGUAUCGGAGAGGUUGGUGGAAUUCUCGGUGUAGAGGUGAAAUUCGUAGAUAUCGAGAGGAACACCGGUGGCGAAGGCGGCCACCUGGACUGCACCGUGACCGCUGACACGCGAAAGCUAGGGGAGCGAACGGG
rnacentral:rRNA from 1 species